rnacentral:lncRNA from 1 species
AAAAACCUUAUAUAUGAAACUUUCACUAAUAACCUGAAACAUCACCACAGAGACAGUUGGGUUAUCCUGUUUGUUUGGACAUCCACUUAUUCACUUGAAAUGCAGGAAAUCUAUUUGAAAAAAACAAAACAAAACAUGAUCAGUUACUUGAUACAAUCAUGAGAUGUGAUCGAGAAAAACUUAUUAAGGAAUUAUUUUGUCAGAGUCAGUCUCUCUCAACAAGAUUUACAGGCCAGUUGUUGACAUUGUAGUAUCCUCUCUUUGAACACUGGAAUUGAGCAACUUCAAAGAGUCAUUGGACCAAGGUCUUCAUGCUUCAAAUAAACCUGCAUCAAAGAAACCUGGCUAGAAGACAAAGAUCAUGCUUUAUUCCCCCACAAAAGGAUUAUGUUUAGAUUUAAUGUUGAUGCCUCAGUUAAGUGCUCACUUUGAAAAUCAAUACAACAUUGUGUGCUUGGUUGGCUCAAUACCUCUCAGUCAAUAUUAAUAAAAAAACAGCAACAAAACAAUGCACUUUGACUCUUUAUUGCUUGUCUCUGGAUCUUUUGGCCUCCUAAAUAUUAAUCAAGCAUACUUAUUCCUUAUACAUAAUAGCAACUAUGUAGUUCAUUCAAUAAGUGGGUAAACUGAGGCAAGUUGGCCUAUGGCAAGAUAUACACAUGCACCUUUGUUCUCCCAAAGAAAAAAUCAAUGUCCAACAGUGAGUGCUAACAUAGCUUAUGUAACAUUGAGCAGAAGUCAGCCCCAGCAGGAGAGUGCAUUUUUUCCUUAUUCCCUCUAAGAUCAUGAUUGUAGAGGCAGUAAAUGUGAAGCAAAACCAUAGGUCAGUAAGAAUGUACUUUAAUUAGCAACUAUCUGUUAUCCCAACUUAAAAUAAACUUGAACUACAAUAGUCUACAAAAACAGAAGCUUGAACACAGAGAAUCCCUGAUGAACGCAAAAAGAAUUGUGUUUCUAUUUAAGACAAGUGAAAGGUCAACUCAAAUGUGGAGGUAAGAUUACUAGAAUUGCUUUCUCCAUUAUGGUUGGAUGAGAGUAGCUAGGCUGAAAGAGUGUGGGUGGGGUCCUACACACCAUGUUUUGUGUGUGAGUAAUUUACCUCACACUCCUGUCAGUUACCAUACUUUUUAGUUUAGGGUCCUAUUGCUUGUAAGGUGCAUCACCAACUUAAUGACCUUAAGGGGAGAAAUAAAAAGGGACAAAGGAACACUAACUCACUAAAUGAAAACAUUGACUUUCAGGUGAGUCCGAGUUUAGAAAACGUUUUUUAAAAUCUGUACAUCUCAAAAUUAAAGAAUGCUGUAUCAAUGCCUGAUUAGCACCUCUUGGAAAGGCUCUUACAAGAAACACUUGGAGAAAUGUCAUUGUUAACUGUAAUUCUUCCUGGAUUAUAAUACCUACAUAAAGAGUAAUUUUACUCUUGAUAUUCAUAUUAGCCUUCUACCAUCAAUCGAGUACAGUGAGUAUUUACUUAAAGUCAUCAAUGGGUUCUUGUAAACUGUAACUUUAAGCAAAAUGACAUAUAAUGAAAAUAAUUUUACCAUAGGCUAAUUGAUAUAAAGAAGAAUUAAGUUCCUGUGGCAUAUUUCUCAUCAUAAAAACAUCACCAUACUUCUAAAUACAGAUGAAAACACUUACAAUAUUAAACAUGGAAAUACAUGUGAACUAUAUAUACAUUUAAAACAAUUAAUAAAAACAAGUGAGAUAUUAUUUACCUACUUAUUCCAGUUAAAAAUCAUGGAUGUCCAGAACCUAUCCCAGCAGCUCAGGAUGCAAGGUAGAAACCAGCCUUGGACAAGACCCCAUUUCUUUGCAGAGUGCAAGCACACACACCCACACUCACUUGGACUGGAACCAUUUAGACACAAUUAACGUGCACGUUUUGGGGAUGUGGGAGGAAACCAGAGCACCCAGAGAAAAUCCAUGGAGACAUGGAGGGAACCACCAGGCUUUACACAGAGAGUGGCCCCUGUUGGUAGCCAUUUUUUUUUCUGUCAUCUAUGUUACAACGAAAUGACAUUGACUGAAAGGAUGUUAUUCAAAGAUCUCCUAUACUUACUGCAUGCCUAAUACUGCCUAGGCACCAUUUAAUUUAAGUUAAUUUUAAAAGUUAUCUUAUGUUCAUGGGAAAACUGGAGCUUAGGUAGGUCAAGGAAUGUCCUGAAUAUCAUAUGGUCAGUGACAGAAUAAAUAUACAAAUCCAGAUGUGGGGAUUCAGAAGACCUUACCUUCACAUUACACAAACACUAAGGUCUGUGUUAAUUAAAAUUGCUUAAUUGCAUGCAGUAGAAACUGACUAAAUCUGACAUAAGAAGGAAUGGAGUUACCAGAAGGAUAUGGGAAUAGACAUAAAGGAGGCUAGGGAACCAGAGAAUCUCUGGUCAUCCAAAUUGAAAAAAAUUACUGGCCAUCGUCUUUGACUGCUACCAUUGCUAUGAAUUCACUCCAAACAUUUUCAGCCUUUUGGUUGCUGUUGUUAAAUUUCAGAGAAAGAUAACACAACUGUCCAAACUUAGGCUAUCUUCCCAUAUUUUAGUUGUGGAUGAGCAGUGUCCUAUGCUUGACUGUUCUUCCAAACUAUAUCCAGUGGUGAGAUGAAAGCGACACCUAACACAUUGCAUCAUUACAACAAGGAGAGAGAACAGAUGCUAGAUCGUAAAACAUCAAGUGAUUAUUGGAAAGUCUUUGUCAGAGGGUUGCUUUGAAAAGUCAACAAAAUUAUAUUAAACCAGGAUAGGAGACAGAUUGAAAUUGGAACAAAAAAGUUGUUGUGGUAUGUUUUGGUCCUGAGUCUUUACGUCAUUUUAACUUACCAAUACAUCACAAGGCCAUCCCUCCUGCCCCAGUCCUGACCUUCUUCCCGAUCACAAAACAAAGAGGUUUGGCCUUCUGAUUUAUACUUGGAUAUCACAGAAGGCAUGACCAUCUUAAUAAAAUAUCCAAAUUGUCAUUGCGUCUUCUUUAAUUCAUUUUUAGAAUCAAUUAGUAAUUGAUUAUCUACUAGGUGCUAAGCAAUGAACUUGGUAAUAAAUACAUUUGAUCCCUGUUUAUGGAGU